UACGUAGGGGGCAAGCGUUAUCCGGAUUUACUGGGUGUAAAGGGAGCGUAGACGGCAUGGCAAGCCAGAUGUGAAAUACCGGGGCUCAACCCCGGGACUGCAUUUGGAACUGUUAAGCUGGGGUGUCGGAGAGGCAGGCGGAAUUCCUAGUGUAGCGGUGAAAUGCGUAGAUAUUAGGAGGAACACCAGUGGCGAAGGCGGCCUGCUGGACGAUAACUGACGUUGAGGCUCGAAAGCGUGGGGAGCAAACAGG
rnacentral:rRNA from 1 species